CCUACGGGAGGCAGCAGUGAGGAAUAUUGGUCAAUGGACGAGAGUCUGAACCAGCCAAGUAGCGUGAAGGAUGACUGCCCUAUGGGUUGUAAACUUCUUUUAUAUGGGAAUAAAACAGGGUAUGCAUACCCUCUUGUAUGUACCAUAUGAAUAAGGAUCGGCUAACUCCGUGCCAGCAGCCGCGGUAAUACUUAGGAUGCGAGCGUUAUCCGGAUUUAUUGGGGUUAAAGGGAGCGUAGGUGGUUAUGUAAGUCAGUUGUGAAAGUUUAGGGCUCAACCGUAAAAUUGCAUUUGAAACUGGCAGUCUUGAGUACAGUAGAGGUGAGCGGAAUUCGGGGUGUAGCGGUGAAAUGCUUAGAUAUCACGAAGAACUCCGAUUGCGAAGGCAGCUCACUGGACUGCAACUGACACUGAUGCUCGAAAGUGUGGGUAUCAAACAGGAUUAGAUACCCGAGUAGUC
rnacentral:rRNA from 1 species